rnacentral:rRNA from 1 species
GUGGGGAAUAUUGGACAAUGGGCGAAAGCCUGAUCCAGCCAUGCCGCGUGUGUGAAGAAGGUCUUCGGAUUGUAAAGCACUUUAAGUUGGGAGGAAGGGCAGUAAGUUAAUACCUUGCUGUUUUGACGUUACCGACAGAAUAAGCACCGGCUAACUUCGUGCCAGCAGCCGCGGUAAUACGAAGGGUGCAAGCGUUAAUCGGAAUUACUGGGCGUAAAGCGCGCGUAGGUGGUUUUGUAAGUUGGAGGUGAAAUCCACGGGCUCAACCUGGGAACUGCCUCCAAAACUGCAUGACUAGAGUACGGUAGAGGGUAGUGGAAUUUCCUGUGUAGCGGUGAAAUGCGUAGAUAUAGGAAGGAACACCAGUGGCGAAGGCGACUACCUGGACUGAUACUGACACUGAGGUGCGAAAGCGUGGGGAGCAAACAGGAUUAGAAACCCCAGUAGUCC